rnacentral:rRNA from 1 species
UACGUAGGGGGCUAGCGUUGUCCGGAUUUAUUGGGCGUAAAGAGCGUGUAGGCGGCCAGGUAGGUCUGGUGUGAAAACUCGAGGCUUAACCUCGAGAUGUCAUCGGAAACCAUCUGGCUAGAGUCCGGAAGAGGAGAGUGGAAUUCCUGGUGUAGCGGUGAAAUGCGCAGAUAUCAGGAAGAACACCAAUGGAGAAAGCAGCUCUCUGGGACGGUACUGACGCUGAGACGCGAAAGCGUGGGGAGCAAACAGG